CAGGAACCUAUAUUCUACACCCAAUAAGGUGUUUCUUUAUUAUUUGUUCUUCUUACGUCAUCCUGAAUGCAGCCCUAACCACUGCGUGCACCCCGACAAAGGUGGUAUCAAAAUGUGCAGCUUGAUCCCGAGAAGGGCGUUAUUAUUUUUAGUGGGAUUCUGAGUUAAAAUGACGACAUAAAUUGCGAAAAACGACAAAACCCCGUACAAGUCAAUGGAGGCUCUGUUCUCUGUCAAACACACACAGUCCCAUGGUCGUUUAUUACCAUGGUAACGGCUCCAACUCUGACCACGGGAUAUUAUGGUCUGUCCGACGCAGCUCCAGGUGAGCUUAGCCAUUUAAGCUAAGACACGGUUUGUAGCUGCUUGCUAUUGCAAAGCUUGAGGAUAUUGAAGAUCCAGCGUCAGAAAUGGAAAGACGGAAGUUAAAAGGGAGCUGUGCGCGCUUCGUUCACUGGAAUAAUUUGCUAGAUGAAAAUAAUCCGAGAGGAAAUCCACUGCUACGCAACAGGCUGAGAACAGAAGCAGCGAUUUGACAGCUAAGUUUGCUUCGCAACACCUCAUGAUGUGUUUCUGAGCCAUGAUUGAGCUGCUGUGCUGAUAACCUUUCCAUUGGAUCCAAGCACCUGGACCUGCUGACCAGUACGGCGUCCAUCAGUCCACGGUCUGCCAGAUCAUCACAAAACAGACUAACUUUUUAUUUACAGUACUCAGUUAAAUUAGGAUCUGGAAACCGGAGCACCAGAUAUGCAGAAAUCUACCUGCAGACUUUGUUGGCUACCCUGACUGACAUCCUGGACGGGGCUGAGCCGCUCUUCCUCUUCCUCUCCUCCAAAGUGACGAGUUUUCAUCACUAGUAAAGACAAACAAGUCUGAUGUCUGAUUAGCUGCUAGGAAGUAUAUUAUAUAUUCUCUGUUCAUUUUGUUAUCCUGUUUGUACCAACAAUAAAAUUUAAUCUCAUUUGUAAUACUCUA